rnacentral:lncRNA from 1 species
UGACACGAAUGCCCCCGAGAAGCUGCACAAUCGCCGACCCUGGACAGCCGAAGUCGGCGUCCGACCUCGGAACGCCCGACCUCAAGACAUCCGAUCUCGAGACCUCCGACCUAGGAAAACCCUGAUGUUCAAAGUCUACCUUUAUCAGCCACCUACUACGGCCAUGCCCCUCUGAGGUCCGGCCGAGGACCAUACUCUGACGCCCCCCCCGGCAUUUAUUGCGCAUGGCUACUGUAAACCUUCAGUUCACUCAACAAUUAAUGCGGAUCUCCGGCUUACUCCACAAUUAAUGCGGAUCUCCGGCUUACUCCACAUUUAAUGCGCAUGGCUCCUGUCAUCUACGGACUCUCAGCUCUCCACGGCGAGUCAGCCCAGCAGAGUCUAGUCAACCAUGAUAAGUCUCUGAUCUCGGCCAUACCUCCGACACCAAUGCAAUAAUUUGUCUGGUGGCGUGCAAGCCCAGGUCGUACGACGACCUCACCGCCGACAUCAACGCAAUGAUUCACCUGAUCGUGCGCCGACCUGAACAACAUGCCGAGCCGUACUACGGCCUCGCCCCGUUACACCACAGAUAAACCGACCCCCGCCUAUAAAAGG